UAGCGAAGGGGGCUAGCGUUGUUCGGAAUUACUGGGCGUAAAGCGCACGUAGGCGGGUUGUUAAGUCAGGGGUGAAAUCCUGGAGCUCAACUCCAGAACUGCCUUUGAUACUGGCAACCUAGAGACUGGAAGAGGUUAGUGGAAUUCCCAGUGUAGAGGUGAAAUUCGUAGAUAUUAGGGAAGAACACCAGGUGCGAAGGCGGGCUAAACUGGUCCAGCACUGACGCUGAGGUGCGAAAGCGUGGGGAGCAAAACAGG
rnacentral:rRNA from 1 species